rnacentral:misc_RNA from 1 species
GAUGAAGAACGUAGCAAAAUGCGAUAAGUAAUGUGAAUUGCAGAAUUCAGUGAAUCAUCGAAUCUUUGAACGCACAUUGCGCCCGCUGGUAUUCCGGCGGGCAUGCCUGUUCGAGCGUCAUUUCAACCCUCAAGCCCCCGGGUUUGGUGUUGGGGAUCGGCUCUGCCCUUCUGGGCGGUGCCGCCCCCGAAAUACAUUGGCGGUCUCGCUGCAGCCUCCAUUGCGUAGUAGCUAACACCUCGCAACUGGAACGCGGCGCGGCCAUGCCGUAAAACCCCAACUUCUGAAUGUUGACCUCGGAUCAGGUAGGAAUACCCGAUGAACUUAAGCAUAUCAAUAAGCGGAGGA